rnacentral:lncRNA from 1 species
UUCAAUUUAAUCCGUUUAAACUGAAUGCAAAUAUGCUGAGUCAUGAUAAAAUAACAUGAUGCUAACUAUAAUACAUGAACAUGAUAUCAACAUCAUCAUGAGGGUAUCACAUAACUAUCCACCAUAUCAACAAUAACUCAUAUCCACUGAACAUCGCAUACUGACUAGCAUGACCAUCUCCAACAUCAACAUGUACUACUAACCAGCAUAAACAUAUGAAAGGUAAUACUAGCAGGUAUAACAUGAUCACAGAGUACAAAACAACAUAGCACAAAAGUAAACAUACAAAUCUAAACAUCACUGGAACAACGAUAACCAUCUUUUCAACAAGCAAACAUUUAUUAAAUAUUCAAGUUGAAAACCAUGGCUACUGCAUGACUAUCAUGCAAGUGGGUAUUGUGGCUUGCUUGGGGAUGAAGAAGGCACCGGGGAGAAUUGCGGUGAAGCCGCGGAAAGAUUUGCCGGAAACAGUUCUCUCUCGAAGGGGCUGAUUAAGGGAAGGGGCAAAAUGGUCAUUUUAGCAUGCCAAAACAUAAUGAAAGUGACACCAGCGGAAAGGGAUCGAUGAAACGAAGAAGUGAGCGUUGGUUUCACCUUAAACGAAGUUACGGUUGAAAAGUUAUAGAGGGAUGAAUUCCAGGGACUUUUCUGCAAAAAUUACAUCACAACCAAGUCCCUGAGUGGAUAAGGCAGAAACGGAUUUCAGAAAAUACGCUUUACAGACAGGAAGGCACAUUAGAACGCAAAGAACAACUGAAAUACACUUAGGUUAGCGGAAAACGUACUGUCGGAAGUACGCUUCCACUUAACGUACUUGGGCCUGCGGAAAGUUAACGCCUGAGGGGCCGACAGGUGGGCCCCGCAGUGCUCUCUCUCUCCUCCCACCUUCUUCCUCCUUUCCUCUCGACGCCGCGCAGAGGAGACCCGAGGCCGAGCGCUCCGGCGACGACUGACGUCGCUACGGGCCACCAUCCGCGGCGCUCGGACCAUCGGCGUGUUCGGGAGACGGAGCCGCGUCUGAUGGGUCAUGCCACGGACGCCGGAGACCACAGGAAUUAGCGGGGCGUCGGCCGCGGCGGAGGGGAGCUUCGGCUGGGAUCGGGCAUGGCACCGCAGUGGGGGAGAGAAGGGGGCUAGGCACCGGAGGGGUUCAGGAGGGGAUCAGGGGGUCGAGGGGACUCCUAUGGUGGUGUUGUAACAGGGAGAGAAGGCGCGGCUCGCCGGAAUCGAGCUUGGCAGAGACGGCGGCCAUGGCGGCCA